GUUAAAUUAAGUUGAAAAGGCAACAAUGAGUGAAAGGCAGACACUCAAUGUAGCUAGAAAGGCAUUUACUGUCAUCUUAAGAGAACAUGGCAAGCACCUUGGGUGUACCUAUAGCAUUUGAAUUCCCAUGAAGGCAGAGCACAUCGACAAUACGACAGUACAUGGCGUUGGCUGCCUCCGUGGGCUCCAGGUAGAGUUGCCCCACUGCAGG